rnacentral:rRNA from 1 species
CGGGGGGAGCAAGCGUUGUUCGGAUUUACUGGGCGUAAAGGGCGCGUAGGCGGCCACCGCAAGUCGACUGUGAAAUCUCCGGGCUUAACCCGGAAAGGUCAGCCGAUACUGCGGGGCUAGAGUGCAGAGGGGGCAACUGGAAUUCUCGGUGUAGCGGUGAAAUGCGUAGAUAUCGAGAGGAACACCUGCGGCGAAGGCGGGUUGCUGGGCUGACACUGACGCUGAUGCGCGAAAGCUAGGGGAGCGAACGGGAUUAGAUACCCCGGUAGUCCUAGCCUUAAACGAUGAAUGCUUGGUGUCUGGGGUUUUAUAGUCCCCGGGUGCCGUCGCUAACGCUUUAAGCAUUCCGCCUGGGGAGUACGGUCGCAAGACUG